AUAAUAAUAACACCACAGUAGCCGACGCUUUAUAAAUUGAAGUAGCCUGCGCACUGCUUACUCAAACUUGAAACACAUGAACAUUUGAGAGAACCUUGGCGCGCGAUUUGAUGACGUUGUCAACAAUAACACCGCAUCACCGGUCACUGCUAGAAUGGAUACGAUUUUGUAAAAGUGAUGUAACGGUCCCGUUUGUGCCAAUCGAGUUGCAACAGGUAUAGUAUUUUACUUGUCUACAAGAAGGCAGUCUGAACCAUUAUAAACAGGAGACAAGGACCACAUUUGUUGUAAACAAAAAUGAUAAACCGUCUGCACAGAAGGAUCUCGUAUCAUGAAAAAACUUGCAUUGGGAACUAAAAUAUGUUCCCCAUGACGGAACCCCCUUCCUGGUGGUCGGGAGGAAAACCUACGCCUGCCACCAGGGCGAGGAUAAACAUGCGAGUGAUAAGAAGAGGGAAGCAGAAAUGUGUCUGGACUGUGCCUACCUGAAGCCUACCUGGACUGUGGCUGAGGACCCUGGGCAUGCCUACCCAUAGCCCCUCCCCACACUCCCUAGCAUGCUUGUACCUAAGCUAAAUACUGAGUAUUCCAUCUCACCCUCUUCCUCUCCUCUUCUGUCCUCUCCUCCCCUAAGCCCAGUCCUGGGCACAAACUAUUUUAUAUUGAAUUUAUAUUGAGCAUGCUUUUUUGUCCAGGACUAGGUGUAAUCUGAGUCUGGGAAACCAGCCCAUACUCUAGACAAUGAGAUUAUUCCAGAAUACUAUCAAAAUAAAGAUUGUUUUCUAUGAUUGUUCUAUGGUACAUUUAACAUUUCCAUUCUACAAUAUGGCCUUUGACAAAGAAAACUCUCUCAAAAUCCUAUUGUAUUUUUUUAACCUUUAUUUAACUAGGCAAGUCAGUUAAGAACAAAUUCUUAUUUUCAAUGACAGCCUAGAAACAGUGGGUUAACUGCCUGUUCAGGGGCAGAACGACAGAUUUGUACCUUGUCAGCUCGGGGGUUUGCACUUGCAACCUUCCGGUUAUAAGUCCAACGCUCGAACCACUAGGCUACGCUGCCGCCCCGGUAUGGUUUGUCUCAGAACAGGAGGCGGUGGAGAAAAGCACAAAACCAAGAGGCUGAGAGAGAACAAGGUAAAACAAGGUAAGGAUAAUAUAUAAAAAAUGAACUUCAGUGGGAGUUAACACACAUACACACAUCUAAAUAUACAUAACACAUCCAAACAUACAAAACACCACUCUACAUAUAGCAGAUAAAACACAUUUAGCACUACACACUAACCAAUCAAACAAGGGUUAGGGUUGUAUCAACCAUUAUCAUAAUACUUACACCUAUGCAAAAAUCUCCAUAAGUGCAUAGGGGGUAGUUCUAACAUAUCCAUCCUCACACAAUUUGCUACUUAACAGGAGAGAGAAAGGCAAGAACAUUUAGGGGAGAGGAGUGGUGAGUCAAAAGAGGGGAGGGAAGAGAAUAGGGGUGGAUAGGGUACGACUUUUAAAGACUUCCAGUUAUUUGUCGUUUUUAAAGGGGGGGGAAAUAAAAAUGAAACUAAGCAGCCAGUGACUUUAUUAGCUUUUUUUUCUAUCUCGUGGAAGCAGGUAGCCUAGUGGUUAGAGCGUUGGGCCAGUAACCGAAAGGUUGCUGGAUUGAAUCCCUGAAAUGAUAAGGUAAAAAUCUGUUGUUCCGCUAUAAUGCAGUUAACCUACUCUUCCCCGCUAGGUCAAUCAUUGUAAUAAUAAUUUGUUCUUAACUGACUUGCCUAAUUAAAUUAAAAAGUCACAUUGCUAACAUUAUACUUAUUGCUAUUCCAUUACUUCAGUUCCAUUGCUAUAGUUUCUGUAGUCUGGUGGCCAGUUAGUAUAUGAAAAUAAAUAACUCGUAGAGCUGGGACACCACGUGGGUGCAAUAAUUGUGAACAAAAACAGCACUACUCAGAACCUCCAUACACGGAUCUCUAGCAGUUGUCCUCUUAAGUUCUACGAGGGCAACAUUACUAGCUGAUAGCAAAAUUCAUGUUUGUAUUUACAUCAUGUAAUGCUCAGUAGAAUUAUAUUUAUUGCCCAAUUGUAGCUAGCUUUUCCCCAGUGGUUCCGCUAGCCAGCAAGUGCGAAUGGAAAUCAAGUCCAGUCUGCUGUAGAACUCGACGCUGUGUGAGACGCAGUCUCGUUGUGGUGAACGGGACUAUGACAUCACUUUUACAAAAUUGGUAUCCCUUUUAACCCUGACCCAACUCAUCCACAGUUUUCCAUCAGCUAACUACUGUGUUUGACUGUUAUCCAAUUGGUCUUAUAAUUAGACAUUUGAUAUCGGCACCCUAUGUCAUUUAAUAUAAUUAACUAGCUACCAAGAAAAACUACCAAGGUUGCUCUUAAACGUUAGCUAAGUCUCUUUUUGCAUACCAUUUCAAGCUGGCUAGCUAAGUUACAUGAUUAAAUAACGCUAGUAACAUGCUGUACAAAACACC
ensembl:lncRNA